GCCGAGGUGGUGAAAUUGGUAGACACGCUAGCUUCAGGAGCUAGUGGGGGUAACCCCGUGGAGGUUCAAGUCCUCUUCUCGGCACCA
rnacentral:tRNA from 1 species